rnacentral:tRNA from 1 species
GGAGGGAUGUGUGAGCGGUUGAAACAGGCGGUCUUGAAAACCGCUUAGCCCGAAAGGGCUACGGGGGUUCGAAUCCCUCUCCCUCCG